rnacentral:rRNA from 1 species
CAGUCGCCACGGUAAUACGUAGGUGGCAAGCGUUGUCCGGAAUUAUUGGGCGUAAAGGGCUCGCAGGCGGUUUCUUAAGUCUGAUGUGAAAGCCCCCGGCUCAACCGGGGAGGGUCAUUGGAAACUGGGAAACUUGAGUGCAGAAGAGGAGAGCGGAAUUCCACGUGUAGCGGUGAAAUGCGUAGAGAUGUGGAGGAACACCAGUGGCGAAGGCGACUCUCUGGUCUGUAACUGACGCUGAGGAGCGAAAGCGUGGGAAGCGAACAGGAUUAGAUACCCCUGUAGUCCCUGUCUCUUAUAC